AUUCUUUUAAAGUCUUUGAUUUUAACUUUACCAAUUUUAUGCUUUACUUUGUGUUUGAACAGGCUUCGAGAGAACACCACAAGUAUAUAUAAAAUUGGGUAAACACAUCAAUACAGAACCAAAGCUCAAAGAUAACCAAACCAGAAAAGAGAUGAGAGGGAAAGAGAUACAAACACGAGAGAUUACAAGGUUCACCACCAAAAUUUGGGGUUACAUCCUUGGUGAGCUACCUCAGAGAAAGCUCGAGUCAAAUCCAUUAUCAAGAUCACAGUUUACAACAGAUUUCUGGAGAUUUCAGCCACAAGUCAGCUGAUAAUCUUGAUGCUUCAACCAGAUUUCACUCAGGAUCACUUCUCUUUCUUCUGGAGAUUUUCGUUAUAAGCUGCUUCGAGAGAACACCACAAGUAUAUAUAAAAUUGGGUAAACACAUCAAUACAGAACCAAAGCUCAAAGAUAACCAAACCAGAAAAGAGAUGAGAGGGAAAGAGAUACAAACACGAGAGAUUACAAGGUUCACCACCAAAAUUUGGGGUUACAUCCUUGGUGAGCUACCUCAGAGAAAGCUCGAGUCAAAUCCAUUAUCAAGAUCACUGUUUACAACAGAUUUCUGGAGAUUUCAGCCACAAGUCAGCUGAUAAUCUUGAUGCUUCAACCAGGUAUGAAUCAAAAACUCUCAAUCACUCUUUCUUUCUCUUUUCUUCUCUCUGGAUUGAACCGAUCCCUCACUUUUUUCUUCUCUCUAACACUUCUCUUUCUUUCUCUCAACUUGAGAGCUUCUCUCACUAGAUUUCACUCAGGAUCACUUCUCUUUCUUCUGGAGAUUUUCGUUAUAAGCUGUAAGUGUUUAUGAACUCUCCU